rnacentral:rRNA from 1 species
UGCAGUCGAACGCACUCGACCUUCGGGUCACAUGAGUGAGUGGCGAACGGGUGAGUAACACGUGAGGAACCUGCCCUGAAGACUGGAAUAACCCGGGGAAACUCGGGCUAAUACCGGAUGCCCCCAUCGGAUCGCAUGGUCCGGUGAGGAAAUGCUCCGGCGCUUCGGGAGGGUCUCACGGCCUAUCAGCUAGUUGGUGAGGUAACGGCUCACCAAGGCAACGACGGGUAGCUGGUCUGAGAGGACGAUCAGCCACACUGGGACUGAGACACGGCCCAGACUCCUACGGGAGGCAGCAGUGGGGAAUCUUGCGCAAUGGGCGAAAGCCUGACGCAGCCACGCCGCGUGAGGGAUGAAGGCUCUCGGGUUGUAAACCUCUUUCAGCAGGGACGAAAAUGACGGUACCUGCAGAAGAAGCUCCGGCCAACUACGUGCCAGCAGCCGCGGUAACACGUAGGGAGCGAGCGUUGUCCGGAUUUAUUGGGCGUAAAGAGCUCGUAGGCGGUUCGGUAAGUUAGGUGUGAAAGCUCGAGGCUCAACCUCGAGAAGCCACCUAAUACUGCUGUGACUUGAGUCCGGUAGAGGAGUGUGGAAUUCCUGGUGUAGCGGUGAAAUGCGCAGAUAUCAGGAGGAACACCUACAGCGAAGGCAGCACUCUGGGCCGGUACUGACGCUGAGGAGCGAAAGCGUGGGGAGCGAACAGGAUUAGAUACCCUGGUAGUCCACGCCGUAAACGUUGGGCACUAGGUGUGGGGUCGAAUUAACCGAUUCCGUGCCGUAGCUAACGCAUUAAGU